rnacentral:misc_RNA from 1 species
CGCAUCCAUGUAACUGCCGAUGCAGUGAUGGGGUGCAAUACAGAAAGAAAAUAAUAGUAGUACACAACAGGAGUGCUCUGUUGCGUCUUAUCACUCUUUAGCGGUUAAUGUUCCGCUGGGCAAGGUGCGAAGCAGUUGAGCCUAGCCCUUGCUAGCGUGUGACGAUGAGUAUUCAUGGUUACUGCUAAUUUGGGCCUGUAGCUCAGCCGGUUAGAGCACUGUGCUGAUAACGCAGGGGUCAGUGGUUCGAGUCCACUCAGGCCCGCUGGUCAAUCGAGCAACAUGGAUUGACCUGCCUGGUACGUUAAAAACUGAAUAGGAUUAGGACAUCUUCAAACAAUGAUUCUUAGGUUAAGCUACUAAGAGCGUACGGUGGAUGCCUUGGC